AUUGAACGCUGGCGGCAUGCCUUACACAUGCAAGUCGAACGGCAGCACGGGUGCUUGCACCUGGUGGCGAGUGGCGAACGGGUGAGUAAUACAUCGGAACAUGUCCUGUAGUGGGGGAUAGCCCGGCGAAAGCCGGAUUAAUACCGCAUACGAUCCACGGAUGAAAGCGGGGGACCUUCGGGCCUCGCGCUAUAGGGUUGGCCGAUGGCUGAUUAGCUAGUUGGUGGGGUAAAGGCCUACCAAGGCGACGAUCAGUAGCUGGUCUGAGAGGACGACCAGCCACACUGGGACUGAGACACGGCCCAGACUCCUACGGGAGGCAGCAGUGGGGAAUUUUGGACAAUGGGCGAAAGCCUGAUCCAGCAAUGCCGCGUGUGUGAAGAAGGCCUUCGGGUUGUAAAGCACUUUUGUCCGUAAAGAAAUCCUUGGCUCUAAUACAGUCGGGGGAUGACGGUACCGGAAGAAUAAGCACCGGCUAACUACGUG
rnacentral:rRNA from 1 species